UUACAAUUAGAAUAAUAUGUGAUUGCAUGGCAAUGGCUACUAUGGCCAUCCAGACAUUCCUUUGUGCUGGUAUUGCUUACAUUUCAGUUUUAAAACAUGUGCUUUUCUCCAGUAUGCUUUACUUUCAAUAAUUCCAAUUACAUUAUUUUCUGGUAUGAAAAACCAGAAUACAUUAUUGGCAGCCUUGCAUUCUAAAGGGACGCAACUGAUUCUUAGGAUAAAAGAGCCUCUAUCCAACAUACUUUAGCAUAAGCAGGUAUUAUGCACCACAUUCCUUAGGACAGAUGAAACCCAUAGAAACACAAAUUUAGAUGUAUAUCUCAAUGCUGCAGUGAUGGUUUCCUGUAAGUAUGCAUAGAAAAUAAGAUGCAGAUAAAUACACCAUUUAGGGCUGCCACUACUGAGGCAGCUGUGGGAAGACAGCCACGUUUUUUCUUAAUUAAAAUUUUUUACUUUGCUUCAGUUAGUCAAUUUAACACUCUUCAAGAGGCAUAAUGUAUAUAGUGGGCUAGUAUUUAAACAGUGAGAGCAGCUUAACAUUCAGAUCCUGCAGACUGUCUGACAGUCUUUUUGGAAGAAUCUCUAAAGACUAGGUGGUAUCUUUAAUUGUGAACAAAUAAACAUUAGUCUGGAUCCUGUGAACAAUUCAACAGAUGAAAUGCGGCAGAAGUUUUCUCUGCAGAUGGCGAUUCUAGGUGCUGUUAAUAAUAACGGUAGAUUCAUUUCACUUCAUCUCGUGAACUCUGAGAAAUUCUGGACAGUCUGGAGUUAUCUGCAUUCAAUCAUUAUUAAGAGGCCCUACUCCUCAGCAAGGAGCAGAGACCAGUGUCUCACAACACCACAGAUGUGAAAUGACUGGAAAACAACACCCUGAGUUGCUGCCACGAGGAAUGAUAUUUAAGUCAAGACACUCCCCAAUGAGGGAAGAGACUUUCAGCUGGUAUUCUAAAUAAAAAGGUAUUCUGCCUCUGUAGUGUGAAUUUAAAAUAACCACCCUAACACCACAGUUAUUACAAAGUUAUGACCAAAGCAAGGGAGAACAUUAUAACAAUUAUUACUCAGGUAGUAGAGAGAGACAUAGAACUGAAGCACCAUUCCCAUCAUCGAUAAAGC
rnacentral:lncRNA from 1 species